rnacentral:rRNA from 1 species
GACGAACGCUGGCGGCGUGCUUAACACAUGCAAGUCGAACGGUAAGGCUCCAGCUUGCUGGGGUACACGAGUGGCGAACGGGUGAGUAACACGUGGGUGACCUGCCCUGCACUUCGGGAUAAGCCUGGGAAACUGGGUCUAAUACCGGAUAGGACCGCACCGUGAGGGUGUGGUGGAAAGUUUUUUCGGUGUGGGAUGGGCCCGCGGCCUAUCAGCUUGUUGGUGGGGUAAUGGCCUACCAAGGCGGCGACGGGUAGCCGGCCUGAGAGGGUGGACGGCCACAUUGGGACUGAGACACGGCCCAGACUCCUACGGGAGGCAGCAGUGGGGAAUAUUGCACAAUGGGCGGAAGCCUGAUGCAGCGACGCCGCGUGGGGGAUGAUGGCCUUCGGGUUGUAAACUCCUUUCACCAUCGACGAAGGGUUUCUGACGGUAGAUGGAGAAGAAGCACCGGCUAACUACGUGCCAGCAGCCGCGGUAAUACGUAGGGUGCGAGCGUUGUCCGGAAUUACUGGGUGUAAAGAGCUCGUAGGUGGUUUGUCGCGUCGUCUGUGAAAUUCCGGGGCUUAACUCCGGGCGUGCAGGCGAUACGGGCAUAACUUGAGUACUGUAGGGGAGACUGGAAUUUCCUGGUGUAGCGGUGAAAUUGCGCAGAUAUCAAGAGGAACACCGGUGGCGAAAGCGGGUCUCUGGGCAUAACUGACGCUGAGGAGCCGAAGCAUGGGGAGCGAACAGGAUUAAUAUCUCUUUGUGGUCAGGGGGCGAAUUCCCUAGUGGAAUUCACGCUUCUCAACCUCCGCGACCUCGCGGGGUUUUUUUUUUUUUUUUUUAUUGUCCCUUACGACGGUUAAAUAAUACAACGCUCU